AUGUUAUGGUGUGGACACUUCCUAAGCAAAUCAUUCAAUCACUCCCAUGCCUCAUAAAACAUUUCCCCAUCCCCUUGAGAAAAUUCACGAAGUAAAGUUCUCAUUGC